rnacentral:rRNA from 1 species
GUGCCAGCAGCCGCGGUAAUACGGGGGGUGCGAGCGUUGUUCGGAAUUAUUGGGCGUAAAGCGCGUGCAGGCGGCUUUGUAAGUCUGAUGUGAAAGCCCCGGGCUCAACCCGGGAAGUGCACUGGAUACUGCAAGACUUGAGUUCGGGAGAGGAGAGUGGAAUUCCUGGAGUAGGGGUGAAAUCCGUAGAUAUCAGGAAGAACACCGGUGGCGAAGGCGGCUCUCUGGACCGAUACUGACGCUGAGAUGCGAAAGCGUGGGUAGCAAACAGGAUUAGAUACCCUGGUAGUCC